GACGAACGCUGGCGGCGUGCCUAAUACAUGCAAGUAGAACGCUGAAGAGAGGAGCUUGCUCUUCUUGGAUGAGUUGCGAACGGGUGAGUAACGCGUAGGUAACCUGCCUUGUAGCGGGGGAUAACUAUUGGAAACGAUAGCUAAUACCGCAUAAAAGUCGACAUCGCAUGAUGUUGACUUGAAAGGUGCAAUUGCAUCACUAAGAGAUGGACCUGCGUUGUAUUAGCUAGUUGGUGAGGUAACGGCUCACCAAGGCGACGAUACAUAGCCGACCUGAGAGGGUGAUCGGCCACACUGGGACUGAGACACGGCCCAGACUCCUACGGGAGGCAGCAGUAGGGAAUCUUCGGCAAUGGGGGCAACCCUGACCGAGCAACGCCGCGUGAGUGAAGAAGGUUUUCGGAUCGUAAAGCUCUGUUGUAAGAGAAGAACGAGUGUGAGAGUGGAAAGUUCACACUGUGACGGAACUACCAGAAA
rnacentral:rRNA from 1 species